UCCCGAUUGGCUCGGGCAGUCUCGCCUGAAAAAUACAACAGACGAAAAGGGUUGCGCUCGUUGCGGGACUUAACCCAACAUCUCACGACACGAGCUGACGACGGCCAUGCAGCACCUGUCACUUGGUUCCUUGCGGCACUCCCCUGUUUCCAGGGGAUUCCAAGGAUGUCAAGCCUCGGUAAGGUUCUUCGCGUAUCAUCGAAUUAAACCACAUGAUCCACUGCUUGUGCGGGUCCCCGUCAAUUCCUUUGAGUUUUAGCCUUGCGGCCGUACUUCCCAGGCGGAGUGCUUAACGCGUUAGCUACUCAGCACAGAGGGUCGAUACUCCAUACUAACAGCACUCAUCGUUUACGGCGUGGACUAC
rnacentral:misc_RNA from 1 species